UUUAAAGGGUCCGCAGGCGGCCUGUUAAGUCAGAGGUGAAAUCCUACAGCUCAACUGUAGAACUGCCUUUGAUACUGAUAGGCUUGAGUUAUUGUGAAGUGGUUAGAAUGUGUGGUGUAGCGGUGAAAUGCUUAGAUAUCACACAGAAUACCCAUUGCGAAGGCAGAUCACUAACAAUAUACUGACGCUCAUGGACGAAAGCGUGGGGAGCGAACAGGAUUAGAUACCCUGGUAG
rnacentral:rRNA from 1 species